AUUGAACGCUGGCGGCAGGCCUAACACAUGCAAGUCGAACGGUAACAGGAAACAGCUUGCUGUUUCGCUGACGAGUGGCGGACGGGUGAGUAAUGUCUGGGAAACUGCCUGAUGGAGGGGGAUAACUACUGGAAACGGUAGCUAAUACCGCAUAACGUCGCAAGACCAAAGAGGGGGACCUUCGGGCCUCUUGCCAUCGGAUGUGCCCAGAUGGGAUUAGCUAGUAGGUGGGGUAACGGCUCACCUAGGCGACGAUCCCUAGCUGGUCUGAGAGGAUGACCAGCCACACUGGAACUGAGACGCGGUCCAGACUCCUACGGGAGGCAGCAGUGGGGAAUAUUGCACAAUGGGCGCAAGCCUGAUGCAGCCAUGCCGCGUGUAUGAAGAAGGCCUUCGGGUUGUAAAGUACUUUCAGCGGGGAGGAAGGGAGUAAAGUUAAUACCUUUACUCAUUGACGUUACCCGCAGAAGAAGCACCGGCUAACUCCGU
rnacentral:rRNA from 1 species